rnacentral:rRNA from 1 species
CCUACGGGAGGCAGCAGUAGGGAAUUUUCCACAAUGGGCGCAAGCCUGAUGGAGCAACACCGCGUGAGUGAAGAAGGGUUUCGGCUCGUAAAGCUCUGUUGGUGGAGAAGAAGGUGCGUGAGAGUAACUGUUCACGCAGUGAAGGUAUCCAACAAGAAAGUCCCGGCUAACUACGUGCCAGCAGCCGCGGUAAUACGUAGGUGGCAAGCGUUAUCCGGAUUUAUUGGGCGUAAAGCGAGCGCAGGCGGUUGCUUAGGUCUGAUGUGAAAGCCUUCGGCUUAACCGAAGAAGUGCAUCGGAAACCGGGCAACUUGAGUGCAGAAGAGGACAGUGGAACUCCAUGUGUAGCGGUGGAAUGCGUAGAUAUAUGGAAGAACACCAGUGGCGAAGGCGGCUGUCUGGUCUGCAACUGACGCUGAGGCUCGAAAGCAUGGGUAGCGAACAGGAUUAGAUACCCGUGUAGUC